rnacentral:rRNA from 1 species
UACGAAGGGGACUAGCGUUGUUCGGAAUCACUGGGCGUAAAGCGCACGUAGGCGGAUGUGUCAGUCAGGGGUGAAAUCCCGGGGCUCAACCUCGGAACUGCCUUUGAUACAGCACGUCUCGAGUCCGGAAGAGGUGGGUGGAAUUCCUAGUGUAGAGGUGAAAUUCGUAGAUAUUAGGAAGAACACCGGUGGCGAAGGCGGCUCACUGGCUCAUUACUGACGCUCAGGCGCGAUAGCGUGGGGAUCAAACAGG